rnacentral:sRNA from 1 species
AGCAGCCGCGGUAAUUCCAGCUCCAAUAGCGUAUAUUAAAGUUGUUGCAGUUAAAAAGCUCGUAGUUGAAUUUCGGGAUCAAUAUAUCGGUCGUGCCUUGGUACGUACUGGUAUCAUUGGUUUCUCCUUUCUGACGAACCAUGAUGUCAUUAAUUUGGUGUUAUGGGAAGUUAGGACUGUUACUUUGAAAAAUUAGAGUGUUUAAAGCAGGCUUUGGCUUGAAUACAUUAGCAUGGAAUAAUGAAAUAGGACGUUCGAACCUAUUUUGUUGGUUUCUAGGAUCAACGUAAUGAUUAAUAGGGAUAGUUGGGGGCAUUAGUAUUCAAUUGUCAGAGGUGAAAUUCUUGGAUUUAUUGAAGACUAACUACUGCGAAAGCAUUUGCCAAGGAUGUUUUCAUUAAUCAAGAACGAAAGUUAGGGGAUCGAAGACGAUCAGAUACCGUCGUAGUCUUAACCAUAAACUAUGCCGACUAGGGAUCGGAUGAUGUUAAUUUUUAAUGACUCAUUCGGCGCCUUACGG